AGCGUACACGGUGGAUGCCCUGGCAGUCAGAGGCGAUGAAGGACGUGCUAAUCUGCGAUAAGCGUCGGUAAGGUGAUAUGAACCGUUAUAACCGGCGAUUUCCGAAUGGGGAAACCCAGUGUGUUUCGACACACUAUCAUUAACUGAAUCCAUAGGUUAAUGAGGCGAACCGGGGGAACUGAAACAUCUAAGUACCCCGAGGAAAAGAAAUCAACCGAGAUUCCCCCAGUAGCGGCGAGCGAACGGGGAGGAGCCCAGAGCCUGAAUCAGUGUGUGUGUUAGUGGAAGCGUCUGGAAAGGCGCGCGAUACAGGGUGACAGCCCCGUACACAAAAAUGCACAUGCUGUGAGCUCGAUGAGUAGGGCGGGACACGUGGUAUCCUGUCUGAAUAUGGGGGGACCAUCCUCCAAGGCUAAAUACUCCUGACUGACCGAUAGUGAACCAGUACCGUGAGGGAAAGGCGAAAAGAACCCCGGCGAGGGGAGUGAAAAAGAACCUGAAACCGUGUACGUACAAGCAGUGGGAGCCUCUUUUAUGGGGUGACUGCGUACCUUUUGUAUAAUGGGUCAGCGACUUAUAUUCUGUAGCAAGGUUAACCGAAUAGGGGAGCCGAAGGGAAACCGAGUCUUAACUGGGCGUUAAGUUGCAGGGUAUAGACCCGAAACCCGGUGAUCUAGCCAUGGGCAGGUUGAAGGUUGGGUAACACUAACUGGAGGACCGAACCGACUAAUGUUGAAAAAUUAGCGGAUGACUUGUGGCUGGGGGUGAAAGGCCAAUCAAACCGGGAGAUAGCUGGUUCUCCCCGAAAGCUAUUUAGGUAGCGCCUCGUGAAUUCAUCUCCGGGGGUAGAGCACUGUUUCGGCAAGGGGGUCAUCCCGACUUACCAACCCGAUGCAAACUGCGAAUACCGGAGAAUGUUAUCACGGGAGACACACGGCGGGUGCUAACGUCCGUCGUGAAGAGGGAAACAACCCAGACCGCCAGCUAAGGUCCCAAAGUCAUGGUUAAGUGGGAAACGAUGUGGGAAGGCCCAGACAGCCAGGAUGUUGGCUUAGAAGCAGCCAUCAUUUAAAGAAAGCGUAAUAGCUCACUGGUCGAGUCGGCCUGCGCGGAAGAUGUAACGGGGCUAAACCAUGCACCGAAGCUGCGGCAGCGACGCUUAUGCGUUGUUGGGUAGGGGAGCGUUCUGUAAGCCUGCGAAGGUGUGCUGUGAGGCAUGCUGGAGGUAUCAGAAGUGCGAAUGCUGACAUAAGUAACGAUAAAGCGGGUGAAAAGCCCGCUCGCCGGAAGACCAAGGGUUCCUGUCCAACGUUAAUCGGGGCAGGGUGAGUCGACCCCUAAGGCGAGGCCGAAAGGCGUAGUCGAUGGGAAACAGGUUAAUAUUCCUGUACUUGGUGUUACUGCGAAGGGGGGACGGAGAAGGCUAUGUUGGCCGGGCGACGGUUGUCCCGGUUUAAGCGUGUAGGCUGGUUUUCCAGGCAAAUCCGGAAAAUCAAGGCUGAGGCGUGAUGACGAGGCACUACGGUGCUGAAGCAACAAAUGCCCUGCUUCCAGGAAAAGCCUCUAAGCAUCAGGUAACAUCAAAUCGUACCCCAAACCGACACAGGUGGUCAGGUAGAGAAUACCAAGGCGCUUGAGAGAACUCGGGUGAAGGAACUAGGCAAAAUGGUGCCGUAACUUCGGGAGAAGGCACGCUGAUAUGUAGGUGAAGCGACUUGCUCGUGGAGCUGAAAUCAGUCGAAGAUACCAGCUGGCUGCAACUGUUUAUUAAAAACACAGCACUGUGCAAACACGAAAGUGGACGUAUACGGUGUGACGCCUGCCCGGUGCCGGAAGGUUAAUUGAUGGGGUUAGCGGUAACGCGAAGCUCUUGAUCGAAGCCCCGGUAAACGGCGGCCGUAACUAUAACGGUCCUAAGGUAGCGAAAUUCCUUGUCGGGUAAGUUCCGACCUGCACGAAUGGCGUAAUGAUGGCCAGGCUGUCUCCACCCGAGACUCAGUGAAAUUGAACUCGCUGUGAAGAUGCAGUGUACCCGCGGCAAGACGGAAAGACCCCGUGAACCUUUACUAUAGCUUGACACUGAACAUUGAGCCUUGAUGUGUAGGAUAGGUGGGAGGCUUUGAAGUGUGGACGCCAGUCUGCAUGGAGCCGGCCUUGAAAUACCACCCUUUAAUGUUUGAUGUUCUAACGUUGGCCCCUGAUCGGGGUUGCGGACAGUGUCUGGUGGGUAGUUUGACUGGGGCGGUCUCCUCCUAAAGAGUAACGGAGGAGCACGAAGGUUGGCUAAUCCUGGUCGGACAUCAGGAGGUUAGUGCAAUGGCAUAAGCCAGCUUGACUGCGAGCGUGACGGCGCGAGCAGGUGCGAAAGCAGGUCAUAGUGAUCCGGUGGUUCUGAAUGGAAGGGCCAUCGCUCAACGGAUAAAAGGUACUCCGGGGAUAACAGGCUGAUACCGCCCAAGAGUUCAUAUCGACGGCGGUGUUUGGCACCUCGAUGUCGGCUCAUCACAUCCUGGGGCUGAAGUAGGUCCCAAGGGUAUGGCUGUUCGCCAUUUAAAGUGGUACGCGAGCUGGGUUUAGAACGUCGUGAGACAGUUCGGUCCCUAUCUGCCGUGGGCGCUGGAGAACUGAGGGGGGCUGCUCCUAGUACGAGAGGACCGGAGUGGACGCAUCACUGGUGUUCGGGUUGUCAUGCCAAUGGCACUGCCCGGUAGCUAAAUGCGGAAGAGAUAAGUGCUGAAAGCAUCUAAGCACGAAACUUGCCCCGAGAUGAGUUCU
rnacentral:rRNA from 1 species